CACGUAGGAGGCGAGCGUUGCUCGGAAUCACUGGGCGUAAAGGGUGCGUAGGCGGGUCUUUAAGUCAGGGGUGAAAUCCUGGAGCUCAACUCCAGAACUGCCUUUGAUACUGAAGAUCUUGAGUUCGGGAGAGGUGAGUGGAACUGCGAGUGUAGAGGUGAAAUUCGUAGAUAUUCGCAAGAACACCAGUGGCGAAGGCGGCUCACUGGCCCGAUACUGACGCUGAUGCACGAAAGCGUGGGGAGCAAACAGG
rnacentral:rRNA from 1 species